rnacentral:rRNA from 1 species
GGGGAAUAUUGCACAAUGGAGGAAACUCUGAUGCAGCGACGCCGCGUGGAGGAAGAAGGUUUUCGGAUCGUAAACUCCUGUUGUCGGGGACGAUAAUGACGGUACCCGACAAGAAAGUGACGGCUAACUACGUGCCAGCAGCCGCGGUAAAACGUAGGUCACAAGCGUUGUCCGGAAUUACUGGGUGUAAAGGGAGCGCAGGCGGGGAGAUAAGUUGGGAGUGAAAACUAUGGGCUCAACCCAUAAAUUGCUUUCAAAACUAUCUUUCUUGAGUAGUGCAGAGGUAGGCGGAAUUCCCGGUGUAGCGGUGGAAUGCGUAGAUAUCGGGAGGAACACCAGUGGCGAAGGCGGCCUACUGGGCACCAACUGACGCUGAGGCUCGAAAGUAUGGGUAGCAAAC